GAACCGAAAAGGCAAACCUGCCGAAAGGCGGGGACGCAAAGCCACCGAUCUACGGGAGGAGUCCUAGGAUGGCGGGGCCGCCGAG
rnacentral:ncRNA from 1 species